GGAAGAUUCUGUAAGAUGGGAGAAAUUGCCUUUGGAAAAGGGAGAUAGGGAAGGAUCUCUCAGGCAGCCAAGUUUAGGAAUGUGUCAUAUGAAAUUUGAAAAUCUGUGAGUUCAUUUCCUCUAAAAAUUGUGUCUAUAUAUCUUUUGAAAGUCUCUAUGAAUGAAUGUCCAGUGAUACCUGUGCCCCAUGAAAGUCACCGGGGAGAGGGAGAAGAGGCCAGAGGUGAGGCACCUCCUUGCUGGAUCCCCUCUGGCUGCAGAUAUCCUUUUAGCCCUUGGCCCAUCUCUUCUGCCUGACUCCUAACUCCCAUAGUGAGCAAGUUCCUAAUCAAGAUUCAAAUCUGUAGCAUAUAGGCAGUUAUUUAAAAUCAGUAAGAAAAAUGUGGUUAUUCCCAAAGAAAAAGACAGCAAAUGAUACCAAUAGGCAGUUAUCAAAGGAUGAAAUGCAAGUGGCCAGUCCCUAAAGAAAAUGUUAAAACAGAAAUCAUAGAUGUGCAAUUUAAGACAAGAUACCAUUUUGGAAAUCAAAUUGGAAAAAUAAAUAACAUCAAGUGGUGGUUGGGAAGAAAAUAAACUGGUUCAAUGCUUUUCUAAAUAGCAGGAAAGCAAUAUGCAUUAAACAUCUAAAAAACAGUAUUAAGUUGACCUAAAAAUCCUCAGUCUAAGUGUUAUUCUAAAGAUCAGAAUUCUAAAGAAUCACAUACAAGGAAGAGUCAGUCUCAAAUUCUAUCACAAUGGACAUGUUGGGCAGGAUUCCUUGAGCAUCUUGUAUUUGAAAUGCCCCCUCUCAAUGUCACUUUCUCGGCCUCUUGGCUAAGACUCCUGAUGGAUUUGGAACAACUGAUUGCACACUGAGCGCCAGUGGAUUGGCCUCUUGCAAUGGGCUGCUAUUGUCUGCAGAAUGUGAUUUGAAGGGUAGGGGUGCCUCCUCCAGGGGCACACGAGGCAGGAGAUGAGUGAGCACAGCACACCUGUAAUAGUGAGGUCAGAACCUGCUGUGAAGUCAGUCCAGCCUGGGACAUGCACUGAGCUCUGUCCCCAUGCAAUGAGAGCUACUAGCAAGGUUCUCGCAGGGGACCAUGACAUGAUACAUACUUGGGAUAUUUUUGUUAUUCUAAUCCCCCCCAAAAAAGAAAAAC
rnacentral:lncRNA from 1 species